CCCAGAACUUCAGCAGAGAGGGGGAGCUGCUGGUGGGGGCAGGGGACCGGGUGCUGGGGACAGGUGUCUGCUGGGAUCCGGAGGCUGGCCUCAUUUAGUCCUGCCGCAGGGAUCUAAGUUGAGAGCCCAACUGUUUCCUGCUCAGAUGAGCAGGUCCCCAGGGUCUGCCCCCGCCCCCAGGGACCUGGGGACCGCAGGAGCACCGGUCCUUGGGAGACCCCAUCAUGAGUCACAUUGUCCCCCUGGGCCUUGGUUUCCUUGCCCUCAGAAUGAAAGUUCAAGUCUCCGCUCUCUGCAGUCUGUCCAGUGGGACUCCACAGGUGGGACGUCCGGUCAGCCAGAGGUCCUGGCCUACCACCUCCCCGUCUCUAUGACGGCGCGAUGACUCCUCGGCAUAAGCCAAGCCCCAGGGAAAUGGCUGCAGGAGCAGGGAUGUUCUCAGAAGAAGCCUGGCCCGCGGCCCCUGCCCUGGGACAAGACACCUUGAUCUUGACCUCGCAGGAGGGUGUCAGAGGAAGCCCGGGUCAUGGCUGCAGCCUCACUGUGGGGGUGGCACAGAGGUUGCUGAGCCCCCGACCCUUUGCCAGGCCUCAUGGGGCUGCAGCUGGUUGUCACGUGUGCACAGCAGCAUGUCAACCGGAAGACAGGAAGACGGUAAUGGGACACGGCGGAAUGGCCUCCUUCUGAGUCCGGCUGGGUCUCGAGGGUCAGCUAGGGGACGAGAGCGGACAGCACACUCCCGUGGCACAACCCCAGGGGGUUCCCACGGAGCCGCCCAGGGUGCCGGCCAGUGGGCAGAGGGCCUUCCUGCUGGCCGGUGCCAGGGAGAGCCCAUGGGCAUGGCUCCUAAUUCCCUCUGCCACCUGGGCUGGGACCGCGAUGGGUGCCUGGUCCCGGGGGGCCUUUGUGAUUUGGGGCAGGAACUUGGGCCCAGCUCCGGCUGUGCUCAUGGGGGGCGCUGAGCUGCUCUGCGGAGGUCUUCCUGGACCGCUGGCUCUGAUUCCCUCCAGAAAGACUCUGCGGGACCUUCCCCAACCAGGAGCCAGGUCUCCAUCGAAGGAGUUCCUGAGAGACGGUGAGGAUUGUGACAUGUCACUUGUCCUGGGGAGGACCUCUGGAGCAGAGGGUGGCUGUGUCCAAUGACAGGGACGAUGCAGGAGAGGCCUUUCACCCAAGCCAUGCCCACGGCAGGACGCGGGAGGCCAGCCUGGGAGAGCAGGGGACAGGCCCCGAGGGGCAGUGGAGAGGGUCUUGCUGCAGCUGACGCCUGAGUCAGGGUCCAGCCCCAGCCGCUCGGUCCCUCUGUGCCUUCCUGGGUGUCAGACUCCAGACCAGGGCCCAAGGCAGCUGCGGGGAAGGAGAGAGCCGCCUUCCUUGUCCUCAACAUGGAACCAGAGGACCCUGGGGUGGGGCUCCCUGCAGAGAGCUGGGGGGCAGGGCCUCUGGAAGGAGGGGAUCCACCAGGUGGCCGAGGCCCCCCCCAUGGCUGUCCCCUGCUGGGAUGAGCAGAGCGCCCUGGGGGCCCUCAAGGCUUCCGAACACCUGCUGGGAGCCAGUGGGCCUCGAGUGACAGAGUCUGGGGCCCUUGGCCCCCCACCCCCAUCUCCACUGACCCCACAGACACCUCGACCUCAAAUACACUGUCGGGGGACAGCGUCCCUGACACCCAGGAAAGUGCCGCAGACGGACGACCUUCAUCUGUUUUCAUUGAUCUGUAACAUUCGUGGGGGAAAGCGUGACCUUGGGGUUCCAGGGGCCUCAGGACCAGGGUCACCUCUGCUGGGACAGGUGGACCCUUCCUGCUGGCCCCGCAGGUUCUCCCCUCCGUCAGCCCCAGAGCCAGUGCCCACAGGUGCCCUGGGUCCCCACACUGUUCACUGGACGUGGGGCCUGGCUUCACCCGGGGCCCUUGACCCCUCCUCACCCUCCUCCGUGUCCCCCGUGUCCAGCAAGCCUGCCACUCAGGGCAGCUUUUUAAAUCUUAAAAAACAACAUCUUCCUUGUUACAAGAGCAGCCCAUCCUAUGUGGCCGAGAGGCAGGACUCUCAGGAGACCUUCAAACAGCCACCCCGGGGCGUAUUUUUCCUACAUCUGUGUCCAGCUGUAUCAUCGUGAGUGUGUGUGUGUGUGUGUAUGUGCACGUGUGCGUGCGCGUGUGCUUGUGUGCGUGUGUGUGUGUGUGCAUGUGCGUGUGUGAUUUUAAUACAGUCAGCAUCCUGAUAACUGCACGAAUAAUCAUCAUUUUUAAAAAAGCUUUUUACUAACUCUUGGUUGGUUAAAAUACAAGGCGGGUGGCCAAAGUGUCUCACGCUACAUAGGACGGUUUGGGGUCUUUUCAGCACAAGGCUGCCGGGGACGCCCAGGUGAGCCGACCUGGAGGCAGGAAUCAGUCUGUCGUCCACCCAUCGCCCAGGGCAGGGGCCGCUCUGCACCUCGUUGGGCCCGUGGGGGGCCAGGCGGAGCUCAGCCUCUGGGCCCCCUCCUGCUGGGACCACCGCUUCUGUCCAGGCGGGGGCUGCCCCCGGGGAGGAGAGGGGAGCCCAGACCCAGGGGCUGAGGAGUCGGUGGCACUGAGAGCGGAAGGUGUCGCAGCCCGAGGAAGGAGCCCAGGCCAGAGGCCAGGCAGGGGGGCCGGGAGGGAGGCGGCGUCCGGCCGGCCCCCAGGUCAGAUCCAGGCGUGGGGGAGGUUCUUGGGCUUCAGUGGGAAUUUGGUUCUCACGUUCUGAGUCUGGGAGUCCCAGACGGAGGUGCUGCUUUCCUGGCGGGCAGACGGCCACCUCCUCCGUCCCCCAUGCGGUGGGGACAGGGGGCAGAUGUCUCUCCAGGUCCCUUCAGAGGCACUAACCCCACUGCUCCGCCCCGAUGUGUCUGACCGAGGUCUCGCAGUACCGUCACACGGGGUUCUGGUGACAACACGUGAACGCUGGCACCUGCUUGGUCUGUAGUAGCAGGGUCUGCAGCAGCAGGGAUGGUCCCUGAGCCACCAACGGGCUCUGACAGUGGCUGGCCCAGGACGUACAGGGAGCCCUGGCUGAGGCGGUGGCCUGGCCUGCAGGAGGAGUCGGGAGGGGCCCAGGACGACGGGUGGAGGCCACCAGGGACAGGAGGGUGGCUGGACUGGGCCGCGGGUGCCCCCGGAGCCUGGCCCCAGGGGAGCAGGUGAGACGCAGCAGCCCCGCGGGCGAGGGGCAGCACUGGGCUCUGCAGGGCAGGGAGGUCAUCCGGGGACCACGGAUGGCCAGGAGCGGCUCACCGCACGCUGGGACAGUCUCACAUCUGCCAGAUGGUGAAACAGGAGUGACAGCCGUCUCGGAGUCCUUCUUGGAUUCCCCAGGUGACGUCCUGGGCUCUGAGGCCCGUGGCCGAGGCCCGGUACAGGCGGCCCCUCCAUGGCCCAGGUCCCGCGGGGAAGGGGGUCAUCUCCCUCCUGGAGUGGGGGCCGGUGGCGUCCUGUUCUGCUCUAGCAUCUCGACUACGUCCAGUGCACAGCUCAGGGUGCUGGGCCGUCCACCCUGCGGUCACCACCUCCACCUGCAGCGCUUCCUCGCGUCCCCACGCUGUCCAUCCAACCCAGCACCCGCCCUCCGGCCCGGCUCCACAUGCUACUUUCUGUCCCCGUGGAGUUGACAACUGGGUGACCUCGAGGAGGGGCCCUGCAGUGUGGGUCCUCUGUGACUGGCCUGCUUCACAGCGUGGUGUCCUUGAGGCCCCCCCAAGGCACAGCCUACGAGGUCUCCCCAGAUGAAGCCCCGAAGGGCGUCCCCCAGGGCCCCUUGCCCUUGGCCCCCUCCAGGUCGUCUGCCCCAGGUCCACCCCUGGGCCACCUUCACGGAACCCAGGGCCGCCAGCCGCCAGAGAUCUGAUGGAUUGAAGACUGGGCGAGGCCAGCGACACAGAGGGCCCGGCCAGCAGGCAGGGCGGCAGGGCAGGGCGCGGCUGGCCGGGCGUUCCCCGGGGGUAACCUGAGCGGCUCUGAUAAGCCUCGGCCAAGCCAGGCUGGCGGCUGAUACAGAGAGGUGUGUCCCUGGGGUCCGGUCACUGACUUGUGUUUGGACACUUGGGCCAGGGCGGUGGCCACAGGCCCCGUGGGAUCGGGAGUCGGUUCCAGCAGGGCCGGUGAAGGGGGCUUUGCUCACGCCGCAGGGUGCAGGGUCCUCCAU